rnacentral:miRNA from 1 species
GCUAGGGGGGGGAUGCGAAGGCGAGAGAAAGAGAGCGAGGAAAAAUGGGAAGGGCGAGAAAGAAAUAGCUAUUUCCUUCUCGCCCCUUCCAUUUUUCCUCGCUCUCUUUCUCUCGCCUUCGCAUCCCCCCUAGCUCC